CGUGCGCCGGGCCCUCAGUCACGCUCGCGCCGCUCGCUCCGUGCUCCGGCGGCGGCGAAAAGACACGCUCGGCGGCGGCAGGGCGCGGGUUCCCCUUGCUCUGCGGCUUUGGCAGAAAGCAACGAGCAGCAGCGGUUGCCGAGCGUUUCUGUGGCACAGCAGACUGCGGGCAUCGCCACCCCGGGACACUCCCUGCAGCUCAAGUCGUUGGCAGCCCGGUACCAAACCUUGCUGCCACCAGCACAAGGCGUUAAUAAGCUGGGCCUCCGUACAGGGAAGCAGUCCCAGGAACUGGAGCUGUGGAGCCAACUUGCCUGGCUUCCCAGUCAUUCUGCCAUUUCCUGGUGUGGCCUUGGGCAAGCUGAUUAAUCUUGCUGGCCUCAGUCCCCCAUCUGCAGAAUGGGUGGGGGACAGUAGGCAGGGAAAGAAUUCACAUCCAUGACGUGCUUGCAGGAGUGACCGGCAUGUCGUGCCAGUCCUGUGUGUGUGUUAGCAGCUGUUAUUUCUCUUUGGUUAUUUCUCUUUUGUUAUUUCUCUAUGGUUCUUUAAGAAGCCGGAGUUUUCUUCAGUCUUCUUGCCUUCUCCUUGUUGCUGCUUCUGACCGAGGAGAAGAGCAGUCAGUGGCAUCUGCUCCCGGCUUCUGCUCUCGCCUCCGACCCCAGCUUCCCCACUAAUGGAGGAGAACAGCUCUCCAGCUCCCGAGCUCUAAUGAACUAAUUAAUUUUUCUAUUUCUCUAACUGUUCUCUCUUCCCUGCCAAGCCCUGUGGGUAUCUGUUUUGUUCAUUUGUUCAAGCUGGGACUUUGAGAGGUAGGCUGGAGGCAUCUCUACUCCCCAAAUUGCUGAAGCACACACUCGAGGCUUUAGCAUCCGUGCAUGAUGUCUCACCGCCAGAGACAACAGCAGCCUCCCGGGACGCAGGAGGGAAACCACCACAGACGUGUGCGUCUGCACCCCUGGCCGGGCCUCCCUUUCCCACAGUAGGAAGGGGAAGACCUGGAGAUUUGUGGGUCUGGUGAUCAAGAUUCCUCUGUGUUCGUGUGGAAAGGUCACCGGGUGGGGGCCGGGUCAGGGUGGGGACUGGGUUAGGAGGAGAUGGGAGCUGGGGCUCGGGUGGGCAGCAGGAGUCAGGUCCAGCCCAGAUUUUGAAGUAGAGCCAUCGGGACCAUGCAAGGAGCGGGCAGAGUGUCCACCUGGGUCAGUGGCCUGAGGUGGAGGAGCAGGAAGCAUCUCUUUAGGGAAUGUUGGGUUGGAGGCGUCCGUCGCGUGUCCCUGGGGAGAUGUCCAGGAGACGGCUGGACACAGAGGCUUGCAUUUGGGAGAAGAGCUGGUCUGGAAUGGCCCGUCGGGGAGCAAGCCCUGCGCAGCUGGUGUGUGGCUGGCAUUUAGCAGGGCAGCACUGGCUGAGCUUGCA